rnacentral:rRNA from 1 species
UAGGGAAUCUUCCGCAAUGGACGCAAGUCUGACGGAGCAACGCCGCGUGAGUGAAGAAGGAUUUCGGUUCGUAAAACUCUGUUGUUAGAGAAGAACAGCGCAUAGAGUAACUGUUAUGCGUGUGACGGUAUCUAACCAGAAAGGGACGGCUAACUACGUGCCAGCAGCCGCGGUAAUACGUAGGUCCCGAGCGUUGUCCGGAUUUAUUGGGCGUAAAGCGAGCGCAGGCGGUUAGAUAAGUCUGAAGUUAAAGGCAGUGGCUCAACCAUUGUAGGCUUUGGAAACUGUUUAACUUGAGUGCAGAAGGGGAGAGUGGAAUUCCAUGUGUAGCGGUGAAAUGCGUAGAUAUAUGGAGGAACACCGGUGGCGAAAGCGGCUCUCUGGUCUGUAACUGACGCUGAGGCUCGAAAGCGUGGGGAGCGAACAGG